GCGAUCGCGUGUGGAAGCGUCGUAGCUCAUCGGAUAAAAGGUACUCCGGGAUAACAGGCUUAUCGCUCCCGAGCGUCCAUAGCGGCGGAGCGGUUUGGCACCUCGAUGUCGGCUCAUCACAUCCUGGGGCUGAAGCCGGUCCCAAGGGUAUGGCUGUUCGCCAUUUAAAGUGGUACGCGAGCUGGGUUUAGAACGUCGUGAGACAGUUCGGUCCCUAUCUGGUGUGGGCGUUGGAUGAUUGAUGG
rnacentral:rRNA from 11 species